rnacentral:rRNA from 1 species
GACGAGCCACACAAACGUUAUUCGGAAUCACUGGGCUUAAAGGGUGCGUAGGCUGCGCGGAAAGUGGGGUGUGAAAGCCCUCGGCUCAACCGAGGAAUGGCGCUCCAAACUACCGUGCUCGAGGAAGACAGAGGUAAGCGGGAACUGAGGGUGGAGCGGUGAAAUGCGUUGAUAUCCUCAGGAACACCGGUGGCGAAAGCGGCUUACUGGGUCUUUUCUGACGCUGAGGCACGAAAGCUAGGGUAGCAAACGGG